UACAGAGGUCCCAAGCGUUGUUCGGAUUCACUGGGCGUAAAGGGUGCGUAGGCGGUCGGGUAAGUCUGACGUGAAAUCUUCAAGCUCAACUUGGAAACUGCGUCGGAUACUAUUCGGCUAGAGGAAUGGAGGGGAGACUGGAAUACUUGGUGUAGCAGUGAAAUGCGUAGAUAUCAAGUGGAACACCAGUGGCGAAGGCGAGUCCCCGGACAUUUCCUGACGCUGAGGCACGAAAGCCAGGGGAGCAAACGGG
rnacentral:rRNA from 1 species